UACAGAGGUGCCAAGCGUUAGGCGGAAUCACUGGGCUUAAAGCGCGUGUAGGCGGGUCGUUAAGUGUCUUGUGAAAUCCCACGGCUCAACCGUGGAACUGCUGGCAUACUGACGAUCUUGAGGCACUCAGGGCCGUCGGAACAAAUGGUGAGCGGUGAAUGCGUAGAUAUCAUUGGAACGCCACGCGAAGCAGACGGCUGGGGGGUGUCCUGACGCUGAGACGCGAAGCCAGGGAGCGACGGG
rnacentral:rRNA from 1 species